UACGUAGGGAGCAAGCGUUGUCCGGAAUCAUUGGGCGUAAAGCGCGCGUAGGCGGCCCCGUAAGUCCGCUGUGAAAAGUCAAAGGCUCAACCUUUGAAAGCCGGUGGAUACUGUGGGGCUAGAGUCCGGAAGAGGCGAGUGGAAUUCCUGGUGUAGCGGUGGAAUGCGCAGGAUAUCAGGAGGAACACCAAUAGCGAAGGCAGCUCGCUGGGACGGUACUGACGCUAAGGCGCGAAAGCGUGGGGAGCGAACAGG
rnacentral:rRNA from 1 species